CCAGAUCUAUGGCUCCAUCCCAAUGUAUCCGGCUGCAGCCAUAUCUAAAUCUAAUGCAAUAGAUUGAAUUGCUGCGUUGGAUUAUGCUCGAGUCGUGGCUCAAUGUAUUGAAACACGCUUGUUGUCAUAAUCUAACGUUUCAAUUGAUUCUUUGUACAUUGGAUAGAAUAUAUAUAUAAAGAUAUUGGUUUUGUGGCCGAUGAGAGAUUUAUUAAUCUCUAUAUAUAUAUAGGGUAUUAUAUGAAUAAAUGGAUAAUAUAAAAUUCUAUGCCCUAUAUAUAUUAUUAUGACCCUGACCUCGGAUCAGACGUGAUUACCCGCUGAACUUAAGCAUAUCACUAAGCGGAGGAAAAGAAACUAACCAGGAUUCCCCCAGUAACGGCGAGUGAACGGGGAUUAGCCCAGCACCGAAGCCUGUGACCAAUUGGUUACUAGGCAAUGUGGUGUUUAGGUCAUCUCUUGGCAUUGUUGCUCCACCCUAAGUCCAGCAAUGAGUACGGCUUACUGGAAUGGCCCACAGAGGGUGAAAGGC
rnacentral:rRNA from 1 species